rnacentral:rRNA from 1 species
GACGAACGCUGGCGGCGUGCCUAAUACAUGCAAGUCGAACGAACCGCGACUGAGUGCUUGCACUUGGUCAAGGUGAGUGGCGAACGGGUGAGUAACACGUGGGUAACCUACCUCAUAGUGGGGGAUAACAGUCGGAAACGACUGCUAAUACCGCAUAGGACAUGGAAUCACAUGAUUCUGUGAGGAAAGGUGGCGCAAGCUAUCGCUAAGAGAUGGACCCGCGGUGCAUUAGCUAGUUGGUAGGGUAAGGGCCUACCAAGGCGAUGAUGCAUAGCCGACCUGAGAGGGUGAUCGGCCACAUUGGGACUGAGGCACGGCCCAAACUCCUACGGGAGGCAGCAGUAGGGAAUCUUCCGCAAUGGACGCAAGUCUGACGGAGCAACGCCGCGUGAGUGAAGAAGGUCUUCGGAUCGUAAAGCUCUGUUGUUAGAGAAGAACAGCGCAUAGAGUAACUGUUAUGCGUGUGACGGUAUCUAACCAGAAAGCCACGGCUAACUACGUG